rnacentral:rRNA from 1 species
GGAAGGAUCAUUACAGAGUUCAUGCCCGAAAGGGUAGACCUCCCACCCUUGUGUAUUAUUACUUUGUUGCUUUGGCGAGCUGCCUUCGGGCCUUGUAUGCUCGCCAGAGAAUACCAAAACUCUUUUUAUUAAUGUCGUCUGAGUACUAUAUAAUAGUUAAAACUUUCAACAACGGAUCUCUUGGUUCUGGCAUCGAUGAAGAACGCAGCGAAAUGCGAUAAGUAAUGUGAAUUGCAGAAUUCAGUGAAUCAUCGAAUCUUUGAACGCACAUUGCGCCCCUUGGUAUUCCGGGGGGCAUGCCUGUUCGAGCGUCAUUUCAACCCUCAAGCUUAGCUUGGUAUUGAGUCUAUGUCAGUAAUGGCAGGCUCUAAAAUCAGUGGCGGCGCCGCUGGGUCCUGAACGUAGUAAUAUCUCUCGUUACAGGUUCUCGGUGUGCUUCUGCCAAAACCCAAAUUUUUCUAUGGUUGACCUCGGAUCAGGUAGGGAUACCCGCUGAACUUAAGC